GUUAUACAAACUACCACACAUGAAAUGUAAAAUGCAGCGUGCUGAAAGUGAAGAUCCUGAUUCGAUAACGAGAGAUGAUGUUUAUAUUUGAGGACAUACGCGAAAAAAUGGUGAACCUAUUAAUGAAUCAGUUGGGGAAACAUUGAAUAAAAUAAAAGCAUAUUCAGAGACGGUUUCCUCUCCAACCAAACACUCACUUGAAGAUGAUGGUGUUGCAAAAGUACUUGGUCCAAAACGUCCAGAACGGGUAAGAGGUCUUGGUUUCGGUGCGACUCCUUCAAAGUUGGAUGCUUUGGUGCACAAUCAUAACCUGAAAACUCAAGUUCAAGAGUUGAGGGAUGAAAUUAAAGAAUUAAAAGCUCUGUUUCAAGUGAAGAUUAAAAGUACUGAACAAGAAGAUAAUGGGAUCCAUAUUUCGUGGGGUAGCUAAAUUGUCGGUCUAAGAAGUGAACUUUGAUAGGUUUAAUAAUUUUUUGCUAUAUGACAAAACAUCAAUACCCACGGGCUUAUUAGUUGAAUGGCGAUUGGCGCAUACAAUAGUAGUUGAAUAUUUUUGAGAAUUGUUUAGA